UGGUCAUUACCGAGGCAUUUAGAAUGCAGUUCUCAUUUGCUGUGGACAUGACCAUAAAAAAUGAUUCCCACUAGGUUUUCUUCCUGCUACUUGGUUAGCAUUGAGCCUAUUUGGGAACAUUU
rnacentral:snoRNA from 1 species